GGGGGAUAUUGCACAAUGGGGGAAACCCUGAUGCAGCGACGCCGCGUGGAGGAAGAAGGUUUUCGGAUUGUAAACUCCUGUCGUUAGGGACGAUAAUGACGGUACCUAACAAGAAAGCACCGGCUAACUACGUGCCAGCAGCCGCGGUAAAACGUAGGGUGCAAGCGUUGUCCGGAAUUACUGGGUGUAAAGGGAGCGCAGGCGGACCGGCAAGUUGGAAGUGAAAACUAUGGGCUCAACCCAUAAAUUGCUUUCAAAACUGCUGGCCUUGAGUAGUGCAGAGGUAGGUGGAAUUCCCGGUGUAGCGGUGGAAUGCGUAGAUAUCGGGAGGAACACCAGUGGCGAAGGCGACCUACUGGGCACCAACUGACGCUGAGGCUCGAAAGCAUGGGUAGCAAACAGGAUUAGAUACCCUGGUAGUCCAUGCCGUAAACGAUGAUUACUAGGUGUUGGAGGAUUGACCCCUUCAGUGCCGCAGUUAACACAAUAAGUAAUCCACCUGGGGAGUACGACCGCAAGGUUGAAACUCAAAGGAAUUGACGGGGGCCCGCACAAGCAGUGGAGUAUGUGGUUUAAUUCGAAGCAACGCGAAGAACCUUACCAGGUCUUGACAUCCGAUGCAUAGUGCAGAGAUGCAUGAAGUCCUUCGGGACAUCGAGACAGGUGGUGCAUGGUUGUCGUCAGCUCGUGUCGUGAGAUGUUGGGUUAAGUCCCGCAACGAGCGCAACCCUUAUUGCCAGUUACUACAAAAGAGGACUCUGGCCAGACUGCCGUUGACAAAACGGAGGAAGGUGGGG
rnacentral:rRNA from 1 species